rnacentral:rRNA from 1 species
GAGGAAUAUUGGUCAAUGGGGGCAACCCUGAACCAGCCAAGUCGCGUGAAGGAUGAAGGUCUUAUGGAUUGUAAACUUCUUUUACACGGGAAUAAAGCGGGGGACGUGUCCCUCUUUGCAUGUACCGUGUGAAUAAGGAUCGGCUAACUCCGUGCCAGCAGCCGCGGUAAUACGGAGGAUCCGAGCGUUAUCCGGAUUUAUUGGGUUUAAAGGGUGCGCAGGCGGGAUGUUAAGCCGGCGGUGAAAUUUUGCAGCUCAACUGUAAAAGUGCCUUCGAUACUGGCCUCCUUGAGUGUGGAUGAAGUAGGCGGAAUUUGUGGUGUAGCGGUGAAAUGCUUAGAUAUCACGAGGAACUCCGAUUGCGCAGGCAGCUUACUAAGCCACAACUGACGCUCAUGCACGAAGGCGUGGGGAUCAAACA